UAGGGAAUCUUCGGCAAUGGACGAAAGUCUGACCGAGCAACGCCGCGUGAGUGAAGAAGGUUUUCGGAUCGUAAAACUCUGUUGGUAGAGAAGAACGUUGGUGAGAGUGGAAGGCUCAUCAAGUGACGGUAACUACCCAGAAAGGGACGGCUAACUCUGUGCCAG
rnacentral:rRNA from 1 species